GACGUAGGGCGCGAGCGUUGUCCGGAUUUAUUGGGCGUAAAGAGUUCGUAGGCGGCUUGUCGCGUCGUUCGUGAAAACCCGGGGCUCAACUCCGGGCUUGCGGGCGAUACGGGCAGGCUAGAGUUCGGUAGGGGAGACUGGAAUUCCUGGUGUAGCGGUGAAAUGCGCAGAUAUCAGGAGGAACACCGGUGGCGAAGGCGGGUCUCUGGGCCGAUACUGACGCUGAGGAGCGAAAGCGUGGGGAGCGAACAGG
rnacentral:rRNA from 1 species